AUUGAACGCUGGCGGCAUGCCUUACACAUGCAAGUCGAACGGCAGCACGGGAGCAAUCCUGGUGGCGAGUGGCGAACGGGUGAGUAAUAUAUCGGAACGUGCCCAGUCGUGGGGAUAACGUAGCGAAAGCUACGCUAAUACCGCAUACGAUCUAUGGAUGAAAGCGGGGGAUCGCAAGACCUCGCGCGAUUGGAGCGGCCGAUAUCAGAUUAGGUAGUUGGUGAGGUAAAGGCUCACCAAGCCGACGAUCUGUAGCUGGUCUGAGAGGACGACCAGCCACACUGGGACUGAGACACGGCCCAGACUCCUACGGGAGGCAGCAGUGGGGGAAUUUUUGGACAAUGGACGCAAGUCUGAUCCAGCCAUUCCGCGUGCAGGAUGAAGGCCCUCGGGUUGUAAACUGCUUUUGUACAGGAAGAAACGCUACUUCGUGAAGUAGCUUGACGGUACUGUAAGAAUAAGGAUC
rnacentral:rRNA from 1 species